rnacentral:rRNA from 1 species
GACGAGUCUGCGGCCCAUCAGCUUGUUGGUGAGGUAAUGGCUUACCAAGGCUAAGACGGGUAGCUGGUCUGAGAGGAUGAUCAGCCACACUGGUACUGGAACACGGACCAGACUCCUACGGGAGGCAGCAGUGAGGAAUAUUGGGCAAUGGGCGAAAGCCUGACCCAGCCACGCCGCGUGUGUGAUGAAGGCCUUCGGGUCGUAAAGCACUGUGGGGAGAGACGAACAUGCGCAUGAGGAGAUGCUUGCGCACUGACGGUACCUCCUUAGAAAGCACCGGCUAAC